AUGGCCCCGCCGCCGCCUCCUCCCGUGACCCGUUGCCAGCCUCCUCCUGUGACCCGUCGCCGGCCUCCUCCCGUGACCCGUCGCCGGCCUCCUCAAGAGGAUCUGCUGCCGGCCUCCUCCCGUGACCCGCCGGCGGCCUCCCCCCGCGGCCCCGCCGCCAUGCUCAUCCUACCAAAGCCGGCCAUGCGCACCGCAACUGGCGCUGCCGCAAAAACACGUCGCAUCAAUCGCUACUGCUCAAGGUUGAGGAUCGAUUGGAUCUUGCUGGAAUUGGAGUUGCACGGACUACCUCGCGCCCGUGCUGACGCACCUUCACGGAGGCCUCGGGUGUCCCUGGCGACCACCUCUUCAUUGCACGGCCGCCGUGGCUCUCUUCGGCCAGAGCAGCCGCUGCUUCCUGCACCUGCCCAUGCUCCGCCGCCUGCACACCUCGUCUUUAGUAUUGGGUGUCCCUGGCGACCACCUGCCCAUGGGAGAUCCCAUGCAGGUCACCGCACCAUGCUCCUGCAGGUCGAUUGCGCCGCCGCACAAAGUUCACCGGGCAGAGGUGGUGCCGGAUCUGUAGUCAGUGCGUCACCUCGGUCAACCUCCACCGCCGUCCCUCCAUGCAUCUCUCCAAUUCGGCUGUCCAGGGCCACCUGCGCGCUGCCGCUACGCCACACAUUGUCGUGUGCCUCCUCCUCACAGGCCAAUCCCUUUGGAUCAGGGUCGGAUCCUCGUGCGUGUGCAGCCAUUCCAGCUGCAUCGGGCAGUGCUCUCACUGCAACCGUACUUGGACAGCUAGUCUCUAUUGAGAUUCUUCCAUUUGUGUGCUUCAACCCUGCAAUUGAUGCAUCUCCUACGACUGGCUAG
rnacentral:rRNA from 1 species